GCCUAUCUCAGUUCGGAUUGGAGGCUGAAACUCGCUCCAUGAAGUUGGAUUCGCUAGUAAUCGCGCAUCAGCCAUGGCGCGGUGAAUACGUUCCCGGGCCUUGUACACACCGCCCGUCAAGCCAUGGGAGUUGGGGGGUGCCUGAAGUUCGUGACCGCAAGGAGCGACCUAGGGCAAAACUAAUGACUGGGGCUAAGUCGUAACAAGGUACC
rnacentral:rRNA from 1 species